UUCUAUUGUUUUGUAUCAUUCUCACACUACUUAGUCAGCUUUGUCUGCACAGGACUAGAUUUCAGGUCUUUAAUUGAUAGUUCACACUGGCUCGAUAUUGCCUCCUGUUAAAGCCUCUGACUGUGAGCGAAUUGUUAUGAACUACCACAUUAUACAUUGUACUUACCUAGCGAUACAUUUCUGCAACACAUGUAGCAAGCUGACGACAUCGAGUCAGCUAUCUACAUAUCUAAUAGUUUCCUUCUCACACUACAGCACUUUAUUCUAUUACAUAGUUCUUAGUAGCUUUGCUUGUUAUUUUGGCUUUAUCAAAUCGUGAUCUUGGAGAUUGCUGUUAUUAGCUUUGCUCCAGAUCACUUGUCUGUAUUCAUGUGAAUUACUUUUUCUUGUGUUUUGUAUUUACUCCCCUCAUUCCUUGUGUGUAUGCCCCUUAUAUAUUUUUCUUUGUAUAAGUUAGACAGUUAAAUUUUUAUGUAUGUACCACUUUUUUGGUAUAAAUAAAGUAUCUUCGAGAUUUUUUUUAAUUCUCUAUCAUAGGGACAGAUUUCCUUAUUUUUCUUUGUUCCAUUACCUUAGGG